CAAUAGCGUAUAUUAAAGUUGUUGCAGUUAAAAAGCUCGUAGUUGGAUUUGUGGCGUACGGUGUGUUCCGGGCACUUGUUGUCUGAGUAACCAGCUGUUGCCAUCCUUGGGUGGAACCUGUGUGGCAUUAGGUUGUCGUGCAGGGGAUGCCCAUCAUUUACUGUGAAAAAAUUAGAGUGUUCAAAGCAGGCUUAUGCCGUUGAAUAUAUUAGCAUGGAAUAAUGAGAUAGGACUUUUUUGCUAUUUUGUUGGUUUGCGCAAAGAGGUAAUGAUUAAUAGGGACAGUUGGGGGUAUUCGUAUUCCAUUGUCAGAGGUGAAAUUCUUGGAUUUUUGGAAGACGAACUACUGCGAAAGCAUUUACCAAGGAUGUUUUCAUUAA
rnacentral:rRNA from 1 species